rnacentral:rRNA from 1 species
CCUACGGGAGGCAGCAGUGGGGAAUAUUGCACAAUGGGGGAAACCCUGAUGCAGCGACGCCGCGUGAGUGAAGAAGUAUUUCGGUACGUAAAGCUCUAUCAGCAUGGAAGAAAAUGAGGGUACAUGACUAAAAAGCCCCGGCUAACUACGUGCCAGCAGCCGCGGUAAUACGUAGGGGGCGCGCGUUAUCCGGAUUUACUGUGUGUAAAGGGAGCGUAGACGGCGGCGCAAGUCAGGAGUGAAAUCACAUGGCUUAACCAUGGAACUGCAUUGGAAACUGUGCAGCUAGAGUGCAGGAGAGGUAAGCGGAAUUCCUAGUGUAGCGGUGAAAUGCGUAGAUAUUAGGAGGAACACCAGUGGCGAAGGCGGCUUACUGGACUGUAACUGACGUUGAGGCUCGAAAGCGUGGGGAGCAAACAGGAUUAGAUACCCUUGUAGUC